rnacentral:rRNA from 1 species
GACGAACGCUGGCGGCGUGCUUAACACAUGCAAGUCGAACGGAAAGGCCCUGCUUUUGUGGGGUGCUCGAGUGGCGAACGGGUGAGUAACACGUGAGUAACCUGCCCUUGACUUUGGGAUAACUUCAGGAAACUGGGGCUAAUACCGGAUAGGAGCUCCUGCUGCAUGGUGGGGGUUGGAAAGUUUCGGCGGUUGGGGAUGGACUCGCGGCUUAUCAGCUUGUUGGUGGGGUAGUGGCUUACCAAGGCAUUGACGGGUAGCCGGCCUGAGAGGGUGACCGGCCACAUUGGGACUGAGAGACGGCCCAGACUCCUACGGGAGGCAGCAGUGGGGAAUAUUGCACAAUGGGCGGAAGCCUGAUGCAGCAACGCCGCGUGCGGGAUGACGGCCUUCGGGUUGUAAACCGCUUUCGCCUGUGACGAAGCGUGAGUGACGGUAAUGGGUAAAGAAGCACCGGCUAACUACGUG